rnacentral:SRP_RNA from 19 species
GGCGCCAACUUGUCACGGGCAUGCUUCUGUCCGGGUAGUUAGGUGUGAGGGUUGUGGCAUGCGUUAUUGUGACGCUGUCCCCAGGAUGUGGAUGAUGCGUCCAUCCCAAACCAGGAGUUGACAUUGAGGUAUAGUCGUAAGACAGUACAUCGAGGUCACUAAGGAAAGGUAUACCGCCCCAGGCUGGUAAACAGAGCAGGGAAAAGCCCUCGCUCUUGGUAGUGGGAGGAUCUCGUAUCAGAAUUCUGAUGUGUC